rnacentral:tRNA from 1 species
UAUUUAAAUAGCUUAAAUGUAAAAGUAUUGUAUUGAAGAUACAAGGAUAAGAUUUAUCUUUUUAAAUAA